AAGUGCACACUAAUUUGAGCACUUUUUAAUUUGAUAUGAUCUUGAAGACACACACACAGGGAAAGAGAGAGAGAGAUAGAGCGAGAGAGAGAGAGAGAGAAAAUGGCGGCUGGAUGCUGCGCUCUAUGAGCCAGUGUUUGGAGCCGGUUUGGGAGCUUUUUUAACGGGAAUAAAUAUGGUGAACACACGGAAUAGCUCGCGACCCUGCAGCGGUCCUUUCAUCUCCUCUAGGACUCGCUCGUCGUCGAGGAACGAACGCCACUCUGAUGAACACAAGGAGAUGAGCAGCGAUGUGAGCACUCCCAGCAGCCCACGCCUCAGCCCGCCGUCUAAGCGGCCCCGCAGACAGAUGGCAUCGGAGCCCAGCUCCAGUGAUACCUCACCCUCGCCCCAGACUAAAGGGCAGAGGGUCAGUUGGGGCAUUCCAACCUACCGCACCAGGUUGUCCUCUCGUAUAAUGCAGAACGGACAUGCCCAUGUGGGGCACCGGAAGGAGCAGGGCGACCACUCGCACAUGAACGGCCAUGUGGAGCUGAAGAGGAGCUGCCGAGUCAGGAAGAGCCAGUUCGAACACCUCAACCAGAGCCUUCUGUUUGACCAGCUGGUCAACAGCACUGCUGAGGCUGUCCUCCAGGAGAUGGAUAACAUCAGCAGCAUCAGGCAGAACCGAGAGGUGGAGCGUCUUCGUAUGUGGACCAGAGACACUGAGGAGGAAAACAUGGACAUGUACUCCCGUGUCAAGCGAAGGAAGUCCAUGCGCCGGGGAGCUUUCAGUUUGCCCGCGCAUCAUAAAGUCAUGAGCAAAGCGGAAGAGGAAGAAGAAGAAGGGACGGAAGAAUCACACGACGACGACGACGAAGAAGAAGAGGAUGGUGAGGACGACGACGACGAUGAAGACGACGAAGGGGAUGAAGCAGAGGAAGCCGGGGAGGGAAACGACAGGCCGUACAACCUCAGGCAGCGCAAGACGGUGCAGAGAUACGAAGCACCACCUAUUGAACCGGUAAACAGGAAGCAAAGCAACCCCUCGCUCUUUGACACCCACCGAUCCCCAGCAAGAAGAAGCCAUAUACGAGUGAAGAAACACGCCAUCCACAGCAGCGACACCACCUCGUCUUCAGAUGAGGAACGCUUUGAGAGGAGGAAGAGCAAGAGCAUGACUCGGGCGAGGAACAGGUGUUUGCCUAUGAACUUGACCGCAGAGGACCUAGCGAGUGGCGUCCUGCGCGAUCGGGCCAAAGUAGGAGCGAGCCUAGCGGAUGUGGACCCCAUGAACCUGGACUCCUCUGUGAAAUUUGACCACGUGGGCGGCCUGGGCAACCAUAUCCAGUCACUAAAGGAGAUGGUCGUGUUCCCACUUCUGUACCCGGAAGUCUUUGAGAGAUUCAAGAUUCAGCCGCCGAGGGGGUGUUUGUUCUACGGUCCUCCAGGCACAGGAAAGACCCUGGUGGCCCGAGCUCUCGCCAACGAGUGCAGCCAGGGAGACCGCAAGGUUUCUUUCUUCAUGAGGAAAGGUGCCGACUGCCUCAGCAAGUGGGUCGGCGAAUCGGAGCGCCAGCUGCGCCUGCUCUUUGACCAGGCCUACCUGAUGAGGCCGUCCAUCAUCUUCUUUGACGAGAUUGAUGGUUUGGCGCCGGUUCGCUCCAGUAGGCAAGAUCAAAUCCACAGUUCCAUCGUGUCCACACUGCUGGCCUUGAUGGACGGCAUGGACAGCCGCGGGGAGAUAGUGGUCAUCGGUGCUACCAACAGACUUGACUCUAUUGACCCAGCGCUACGGCGGCCCGGACGCUUCGACCGGGAGUUUCUCUUCAAUCUGCCUGACAAGACGGCUCGAAAGCACAUUUUGCAGAUCCACACUCAGGACUGGAAUCCAAAAUUGUCUGAGGAAUUUGUAGAUGAACUUGCAGAAAAGUGUGUCGGCUACUGCGGCGCCGACAUCAAAGCGCUUUGCACAGAGGCGGCCCUGGUGGCGCUGCGCCGCCGCUACCCUCAGAUAUACGGCAGCAGCGUCAAACUGAAGCUGGACGUGGCCUCCAUCGUGCUGGGAGCGGGCGACUUCGGCAGGGCCAUGAGGGCCAUCGUACCGGCUUCCCAGAGGGCACUGGCUCCACCAGGACGAGCUCUGUCCCCCAUCCUGAGGCCCCUGCUGGCCGGCUCUUUCUCGUUGGUGCUGAAAGCUCUUGUUCGAGUCUUCCCCCACGCUCAGUGCAACGACAGGCAUAUGCACGGCGGCGACAAUCAACUGCACGAAGAGGACGUGUACAGCGAUGACAACGAAGACGCUUCCAUCUACGAAACUCCGUCUGCUGUGGCCCCGACCGGCACGCCGCCGCCCUCCGACACUGCAAUGCACAGACCCUUCAUCAAUUGCGCCUUCUCCGCCCUCCAGCAGCCCACCGCAUACCGACCCCGUCUGCUCCUGGCCGGGUCCCCGGGCUCCGGGCAGAGCUCCCACCUCGCCCCCGCCUUGCUGCACCACCUGGACAAGCUCCCGGUGCACCGCCUGGACUUGCCCACGCUCUACUCCGUCAGCGCCAAGACACCAGAGGAGUCCUGUGCUCAGGUUUUCCGCGAGGCCUGCCGCAGCGUUCCCAGCGUGGUAUUUGUGCCGCACAUCUCCGACUGGUGGGAGACGGUGAGCGACACCAUUAAAAGCACCUUCCUCACCUUGCUCCAGGACAUGCCCUCUUUCUGCCCCGUCCUCAUCCUCGCCACCGCCGAGACGACCUACUCACGGAUGUCCGACGAGGUGAGGAGUAUGUUCCAUAAGGCCUACGGUGAAGUGGUUACACUGAACCCUCCAGGGGAAGAAGAAAGGAGGAGCUUUUUCUCAGAUCUGCUGCUGGUCCAAGCAUCCAGAGCCCCACCACGCCCCAAAACUACUGAGAUUUGCAAGGAGGUGCUGCCGGUGGCCGAGGCCCCGGGCCCCAGAGUCUUGUCCGCAGAGGAGCAGCAACGUCUGGUCCAGCAGGCGGAGAACACUCUUCGGGAGCUGCGGCUCUUUCUCAGGGACGUGACCAAGCGUCUGGCCACCGACAAACGCUUCAACAUCUUCAGCAAGCCUGUUGACAUCGAGGAGGUAUCGGACUACCUGGAGGUUAUCCGACAGCCCAUGGACCUGUCCACUAUCAUGACCAAGAUUGACAAGCACCAGUACCUGACGGCCAAAGACUUCCUGGUGGACAUCGACCUCAUCUGCAGCAAUGCGCUAGAGUACAACCCAGACAAAGACCCAGGAGACAAGGUGAUCAGGCACCGAGCGUGCAGCUUGAAGGACACGGCACACGCCAUCUUCGCCUCGGAGCUUGACCCCGAGUUUGACCGCAUGUGCGAGGAUAUCCAGGAGACACGCAGGAAAAGAGACCAGCAGAUGCCAACGCAGCCAGCAGCAUCAGCACCGAGUACUCCGGUUACCAGAAAGAACCCCACUGCUCCUUCUGCUCCCGUUGCUCCUUCGACUCCGUCUGCUCCUGCUGCCGUGGAGGAGCAGACCAGGACCAGCACUGCAGUCCAAGCUACAGAGAAAGCCUGCACGCCCAAUCAUAUUAAGAAGAAGAUCCGCAGACGGCCAUCUUGGGGGCGAGGCAUCAUCCGCAAGAAGAAGAACUACAAGAAGGGAACUGAGGAGGAGGAAGAGGAAGAGCCAGAGGUAGAAGCAGAAGCAGAAGCGCCAGGACCUAGCGACUCGUGUUUGACUCUGGAUGAAGAGUCCUCCAACGACGCCGCAGGGCUCCAGCCCAAUGGCCACCCGCCCCACGUCUCCAUGGAGGAGGAGAGCUCCAAUGAACCCCCUGUUGGCCCCGUCAGACUAGAGACAACUCCCAAGGAUGAGGACUGCAACGCCGAUGGGUCAAAGUGCGGGAACACAGAAAUACAAACUCGGCUGCACUGCAUCGGAAAACAUUCACGCUCCGACGCAGACGGGGCUAGCCGGAGCCAGUGGGUCGACUCGCAAACUUUGACUGAAAAUCCAGAGUCUUCUGAUGCCAAGGUCCAAUCUCAGCACUUAGAGGAUCUCCAAGUAGCACAAGCGGACCGUGUGAACGGAAAUGAGUCAAUGGAUAGUCUGGACUCGAUCAGCAAGGCAGAUGAAAAUAUGACAGAGGCCUUUAACAGCCGGUUGGAACAAUGGGAGCACAACGGCACAGGCAAGGGGGAAGCCACUCAGGAGCACACUUCCCAAGAUGGGAGAACUGGAUCACUAAGCUUGAACGAAGAUGACGACAAAGAAGGAGAUUCCAAGGUAAGGAAAUGCAAGAGGAGCCCGUCGGAGCAAUUAAAAGGAUCUGCUUUAAGGACUGAGGAAGAGCCAGAACCAGCACCUCCUCCACCACCUCCUCCUCCUCCUCCUCCUCCAGUUGUGGUCGACCGUGAGCGACUUUUGGUGCUGCUGGAAAUGGCGGUGAAGAAGAGCAAAGGCUUCAGCGUGGAGCAGCUGGAGAGGCUGUACUCUGUUCUCAGCCAGUGCAUCUUCGUUCAUCGCAGAGAGUACGACAAGACACAACUACUGGAGGAGAUGGAGGACAGGAUCAAGCAUUUUGACACAUUCCUGUGAGACGGCGAAAACACAACCUCCUCAGGUAGACCCUGAGACCCCCGAACCCCCAACUCCCCCCCCACCUUUUUUGGGACCACAAAGACACAAAGCGAGAGCUUGAAGGAGCUUGAAGCAACCCUCAUCGUCUUCUUCAUGGCGGGAUAAGAGACAAUUGAAUGGUGCUAACGUCUCAGGAAACCUGGACAGAUCCACACCUGUUCUACUCAACCAAACCGCUGGAGAAGCCCACCUAGAGUACACCCGCCUCUAGUGGGCGCCAACCACACUCGUAUAAAAAGCUAACAAGGCAGGAAGGAGGAAGGAAGGAAGGAAGGAAGGAAGGAAGGAAGGAAGGAAGGAAGGAAGGAAGGAAGGAAGGAAGGAAAGAAAAGCUAACAGUCACUGGUGAUUUUUGUGCUUUUUUAAAACCCCCAACAUAGUCCUGAUCAGCACGGGGGGGCGGCCAAUCACCCUUAAGAACAGAUACAAAAAAACCACUUCACCCUCGUGAGACGUUAGUCCUCAUCUCAUGGAGACCGUCCCGUUCUCUAGAUGCCACCCCCGCCCCCCAAAUGUCACCCGUGUUUACUAGAGGUCACUCCCGUUUCCUAGACGCCAACCCUGUUUCUUAGAUGUUAGCCCCAUCCGCAAAUUUGACUCCCCGCCCCUCAAAUGUCCCUCCUGUCCCCGAGGUGUCACUCCCAUCCAGGAGAUGUCACUAGUGGGGUUGAAACAUUCUGUGUCUCCAAUGAAGAAGGAUAGAAAAGGAAGGUGGUUUACUAAGAGGGUCCCUGCAGGUGAUGAUGGACCAUGAUAGACCAUGAUGGACAACAUGGCCAACAAGUCCAGUACAUUCUACACAGGGUGUUUUUUGGAAGGGUUGGCGUUUGGCAAAGAGGGGCGGCAGACCGGCGGGCCGGGGGACCGGGUAGGGGCGGUGGUGAUGUCAGCUGAAGAAGACAGCCUUCGCCAAACGAGGUACAUGGCCCGGGCCAAGGCGACACCUGCCGGUGGGGCGUUGGCACUGUUGCUGGGCGGCCCCGAGCCCCGCCCCCCGCCCUCAGCCGCUCUGGAUGUACUUCUUGAUGACCACGCAGCCAUGUCGGAAGAGCGGGCAGGGCAGUGACUGCAGCAGCGUCCAUGUGUUAGCGCAGGGGUCAAAGGUCUCCAUGUUGCCCAGCGCCGGACCCUCACUGCUGACGAUGCCGCCUGUGGCAUAGAUCUUCCCGUCUAGUAUGACGGCACUGUGAGUACACACAAGUAUAGUACUUUGUAAAUUGAACUUUCUAAGCUUUUUUCCACUGUGAGUACACAAUUGGGGCUAUGUAGUAUAUACGUAUAUAUAUGUAUGUUUCUGUAUAUAGUAUAUGUAUGCAUAUAUGUGUGUGGAGUGUGUGUGUAGAGUGUGUAUAUAGAGUAUGUGUAUGUACAGUGUGUAUAUAGAGUGUGUAUAUGUACAAUGUACAAUGAGUAUGUGAGGUAAAGGUGAGAUGAGUCAGAAUGAAAUGAAAAAGCCAAGAUGUUCUUCUUGGACAUGAGAAGCAGAAAGAGGAGUUUGUGUGCAUGCAGGAUUAAAAUCUUUGGUCCGUAAACAGAUUAAGGUUUUGUCCUCCUAUUGGCUCCUACAAACACACGUGCGCGCACGUGCACGUGCAGGGAAACGCUGCUGGAAGUGGAAAAGAUGAUGACAUGAAAGCUUAAACGUUCUCGGAGAAGAAUCCUCCAUGCUGCCUGGGUCAGCCUGCACAUCGCCAGGGUCUCCUGCUCCUUAGCAAGCUAACAUGCUAACUAAGAUGAUGGAACGUGUCAUGGCGAGGAUUUCAUAGGCAACACUUCCUCUUGACCCAAGACAGCUGGGAUACUUUCUUUGAUGGAUGCCUGAAUGAGUGACUAUGGAUGGAUGGAUGGAUGUCUGAAGGAGUGAUGGUGGAUGGAUGGAUGUUACCUGCAGAACUGCCUGGAGUGGUUCAUGUUGGCCCCGGCUUUGAUGUUGCCUUUGUCAGGGUCGUAGAUGGUGGUGGCUCUGGCGUAGGCUCCUCCCAGGAUGUACACCAAGCCCUUGAGACUGACCGCUGGUGCGUAUUUGUUAUCUGAACACAGGAGAGUAUCAUCACGUCCUCCUGCCUUAGUGUCCCGUUCUUCGCUCCGCGUCGCUCACUCACCGAUCAUGGGCGACUCGAUGAAGCUCCACGUGUUGCUCUGCGGCACAUACGACUGCAGCACGCCCGCCGAGCGGCCGGCCUCGUUGACGCCGCCGAAAACGUAGACCUUGCCGCCGCAGACCGUGGCCGCUGCUGAGUGCACCGGCUUGGGCAGCGGAGACACCAUCUCCCACUGGUUGGUGAUGGUGUCGUACCUGUGGGUUGGAGACGGGUGAUGUUAGCAUAGUGUGUGUGGACAUUGUUGAAGGUGAUGUUAGCAUAUUGCGCGUGGACAUUGUUGAAGGUGAUGUUAGCAUAGUGCGCAUGGACAUUGUUGCAGGUGAUGUUAGCAUAGUGUGCAUGGACAUUGUUGAAGGUGAUGUUAGCAUAUUGCGCGUGGACAUUUUUGAAGGUGAUGUUAGCAUAUUGCGUGUGGACAUUGUUGAAGGUGAUGUUAGCAUAGUGUACAUGGACAUUGUUGAAGGUGAUGUUAGCAUAGUGUGCGUGGACAUUGUUGAAGGUGAUGUUAGCAUAGUGUGCGUGGACGUUGUUGAAGGUGAUGUUAGCAUAGUGUGCAUGGACGUUGUUGAAAGUGAUGUUAGCAUAUUGCGUGUGGACAUUGUUGAAGGUGAUGUUAGCAUAGUGUGCAUGGACAUUGUUGAAGGUGAUGUUAGCAUUGUGUGCAUGGACAUUGUUUAAGGUGAUGUUAGCAUAGUGUACAUGGAUGUUCAUGGUGAUGUUAGCAUAGUGUACAUGGAUGUUCAUGGUGAUGUUAGCAUAGUGGGCAUGGACAUUGUUUAAGGUGGUGUUAGCAUAGUGUACAUGGAUGUUCAUGGUGAUGUUAGCAUAGUGCGCAUGGACGUUGUCGAAGGUGAUGUUAGCAUGGUGCGCGUGGACAUUGUUGAAGGUGAUGUUAGCAUAGUGCGCGUGGACGUUGUUGAAGGUGAUGUUAGCAUAGUGCGCAUGGAUGUUCAUGGUGAUGUUAGCAUAGUGUUUUCUAUUCUCUUGCGUGGCAGCAAAGAAACGUCAUUGGAAAAAAAAAGUAGGAUCAAAUCAGCCCGAGAGAGACCCCAUGUGGCGACAUGGACCCAGGGAGUCACAGAGUGUAGUGGGUGGUUGCCGGG